GACAGAGGUUGCAAGCGUUGUUCGGAAUCACUGGGCGUAAAGGGCGUGUAGGCGGCAGAGUAUGUCCGACGUGAAAUCCCCCGGCUCAACUGGGGAAUGGCAUCGGAAACUGCUUUGCUAGAGUGCGAGAGAGGAUAGCGGAAUUCCCAGAGUAGAGGUGAAAUUCGUAGAUACUGGGAGGAACACCUGCGGCGAAGGCGGGUUGCUGGGCUGACACUGACGCUGAAGCGCGAAAGCUAGGGGAGCGAACGGG
rnacentral:rRNA from 1 species